AGAGUUUGAUCCUGGCUCAGAACGAACGUUGGCGGCGUGGAUUAGGCAUGCAAGUCGAACGAAUCCCAGUUGGGUAACUGACUGGGGGAAGUGGCGAAAGGGGCAGUAAGGCAUGGGCAAUCUACCCUGGGGACUGGGAUAGCCCUCCUAACGGAGGGGUAAUACCGGGCGAUCUGGCGAAGGGGCAUCUCGUUGCCAGGAAAUGAAUUUCGCCUCAGGAGGAGCUCAUGUGGUAUUAGCUUGUUGGCGGGGUAACGGCCCACCAAGGCCAAGAUGCCUAGCAGGUGUGAGAGCACGACCUGCGCCACUGGCACUGAGACACUGGCCAGACUCCUACGGGAGGCUGCAGUCGAGAAUCUUCGGCAAUGGGCGCAAGCCUGACCGAGCGACGCCGCGUGUGCGAUGAAGGCCUUCGGGUUGUAAAGCACUGUCGAGGGGGAGAAAAGCCCGCAAGGGUCUGAUCUAUCCCUGGAGGAAGCACGGGCUAAGUUCGUGCCAGCAGCCGCGGUAAGACGAACCGUGCGAACGUUGUUCGGAUUCACUGGGCUUAAAGGGCGCGUAGGCGGGCGGUCAAGUCAGGGGUGAAAUCUUUCAGCUUAACUGGAAAAGUGCCUCUGAUACUGACUGUCUUGAGGGAGGUAGGGGCAUGUGGAACUUCCGGUGGAGCGGUGAAAUGCGUAGAUAUCGGAAGGAACGCCGGUGGCGAAAGCGACGUGCUGGACCUCUUCUGACGCUGAGGCGCGAAAGCUAGGGGAGCAAACGGGAUUAGAUACCCCGGUAGUCCUAGCCCUAAACGAUGGGUACUAGGUUGUGGACUUAACAUGGGUUCACAGCCGAAGCAAAAGUGUUAAGUACCCCGCCUGGGGAGUAUGGUCGCAAGGCUGAAACUUAAAGGAAUUGACGG
rnacentral:rRNA from 1 species